GAACGGCAGCACAGGAGUUGCUCCCGGUGGCGAGUGGCGCACGGGUGAGUAAUACAUCGGAACGUGUCCUGUUGUGGGGGAUAACUGCUCGAAAGGGUGGCUAAUACCGCAUGAGACCUGAGGGUGAAAGCGGGGGAUCGAACCUCGCGCAAUUGGAGCGGCCGAUGCCCGAUUAGCUAGUUGGUGAGGUAAAGGCUCACCAAGGCGACGAUCGGUAGCUGGUCUGAGAGGACGACCAGCCACACUGGGACUGAGACACGGCCCAGACUCCUACGGGAGGCAGCAGUGGGGAAUUUUGGACAAUGGGGGCAACCCUGAUCCAGCCAUGCCGCGUGCAGGAUGAAGGCCUUCGGGUUGUAAACUGCUUUUGUCAGGGACGAAAAGGACCGUGUUAAUACCAUGGUCUGCUGACGGUACCUGAAGAAUAAGCACCGGCUAACUACGUGCCAGCAGCCGCGGUAAUACGUAGGGUGCAAGCGUUAAUCGGAAUUACUGGGCGUAAAGCGUGCGCAGGCGGUUCUGUAAGACAGAUGUGAAAUCCCCGGGCUUAACCUGGGAAUUGCAUUUGUGACUGCAGGACUAGAGUUCAUCAGAGGGGGGUGGAAUUCCAAGUGUAGCAGUGAAAUGCGUAGAUAUUUGGAAGAGCACCAAUGGCGAAGGCAGCCCCCUGGGAUGCGACUGACGCUCAUGCACGAAAGCGUGAGGAGCAAACAGGAUUAGAUACCCUGGUAGUCCACGCCCUAAACGAUGUCUACUGGUUGUUGGGGUUU
rnacentral:rRNA from 1 species